UUCCAUGUGUAUUUGCUAUCAAACCACAGUAUUUGAACUCAUUCACCUUUGUCAUUGGACGAUCAUAUAGUGUUAGCUGUUGGCCAUCAGUCUUGUGUUUGUUUGUAAAUACCAUGUAGCAUGACUUGCUUUCUGACAUUUUGAAUCCCCAGUUAUAUGACCACCUCUCCACUUUUUUAAUCGCUCUAGCUUCUCCAUUACUUAUGGGGCAUGUCUUCCCCUCAUCCACAUAUCCCCAACAUCUGCGUGUAGAGCCCAUUGGAUGCAUGUGUCUAAGCAUGUCAAUAUGUCAUUAAUCAUGAUGUUAAAUAAUAUUGGACUGACUGCACUCCCUUGGGGAAUACCAUUUUCUAUUUCUAAAUAAUUGGAAAUAUCUGCUCCAACCUUUCCUCUAAAUGUCCUGUCUGUUCAAAAGGCCCUUACCCAAUUGAACAUUCUCCCUCCAAUACCCAUUCUAUUCAAUCAAAGUGAUCAGUAACCCCUCCCUCCACACAGAGUCAUACGCCUUUUCAAUGUCAAAGUACACUAUUGUCAUUAUCUCUUUCAUUUUCAAUGUUUGUCCCACGUCAUUACUCACUCUUACUAAUUCCACAUCCAGAGCUGACCUAUUAUCCUGUCUCUUCUCCUUCAUGUUUUCAUUCUCUGCUAGUAACUGCUGUUUUUGCUGCCUAUGGAUAUCACUGAGAUGCUCCCCACUAUGUACUGCUGCAAGUGUCCUUCCUAACAUACCUGCCUUCUCUUUAUCUGUCACUGCCAGCCUCUCCCCAUCAACCAAAGCUGGCAUUUUAAUGGAUUUCCUUUUCCCACUCAUCUGCUGAAACAUGGACCAGACAUCACCUAAUGUUACUCCUCUGCCAAUGGGUUGCAGAUGUCCACUAUAGUACAGUCUAUACCAUCAGGAGAUUGCACCUCCCUAUAUGCCACACCAUCUUUGAGAGAUGACUGCAAGGUCCUGUACACUUCGCAUACAUUGACUGCACGACUUCAGGUCUGCGAUGUGGACAGUACACCUCAAACACAUCACUACACAACCUGGGGUAUUUGAAGAUAAGGGAAUGACAUGUUUAUAAUAUGCUGCAAAACACAACAAAUAGGCAGGGUUACGAGUCUGUUUCCAAGGCCAUUUUAUUUUUGGUAGUCUGAUCAUUUCAACAAGAGAAUAGAAUCAAACUGAAAACAUCGUAAAUAUGUUCCAGAUACAUGAAGCAUGUGAACAGUGAAACUCGCUCAUGGACUUUAAGGUGAAUACUUUAAGAAAACGUUUUCCCACACUCUUUGUAGGAGCCAUUUUAUGGGUGUUGUUGGUGUCUCAAUUUACCUUAUUUAUAUGUAUAGUGCAAUAUUAUUUUUUAACACUUGGUGGCGGGGUGUAUAAAAGGGGUCAUAGGUGACAGGAGAGGAAGAGGACACAGGACGAAGAGCAUACUGAUUCUACCAGACGGCCAGCCCAGCCCCAGCAGAUGCUCAUACUACAACUAUUGACACCGUGUACUUAAACCUUGGUAUGUAAAGCAAUAAAACAUCAUUCUAAAACUGCA